rnacentral:tRNA from 1 species
GCCCCUGUGAUGGAACAGGAAUACAUACCGGAAUCAGAAUUCGGGUUUUGCAGGUUCAAAUCCUGUCAGGGGUA